GUGUUUGCUGUGUGUAUCUGCAGGAUGUCAUGAACAAAGUGCGCUCAGACACGGUUAUGGACAUGCAUCUGGAGAAGAAUCGCGCAAAAGCAUUGAAAGUAGGGCAUGACAAGAUGCUUCUAGAAACACGAGCUGAGAUUAUGGAAAUGACUGCAGAGCAAGAUCGUCAUUUAACUCAGACCAACAUUAAAAUCGACACGGAAGUGGCUGGUCUGAAAACCAUGUUAGAGGCCCAUAAACUGGACACUAU